rnacentral:misc_RNA from 1 species
AAGUCGUAACAAGGUUUCCGUAGGUGAACCUGCGGAAGGAUCAUUAAUGUAACCGGAUCGGUUCGUGGGCAGGUCGCAGAGCUUUGUUCGCGGGUCGCUGAAGGGAAUUAUCAUACACCCUGUGUUAAUUUACCUUUGUUGCUUUGGCGGGGCCCGUCCGCGAGGCCGUCCAGCUCCGGCUGACCGCGCCCGCCAGGGACCCAAACUCUUUUAUCAGUGAUGUCGAGUACUAUAUAAUAGUUAAAA